AGAGUUUGAUCCUGGCUCAGGACGAACGCUUGCGGCGUGCCUAAGAAAUGCAAGUCGAGCGAGAACCAACCUUCGGGUGAAGUUCUAGCGGCGAACGGUCGCGUAACACGUAAGCAGCCUGCCCUAAAGUUGGGGAUAGCCCUCCGAAAGGAGGAUUAAUACCGAAUGUGGACAUAUUUUCGCAUGUUUAUAUGUCUAAAGCAGCGAUGCGCUUUAGGAUGGGCUUGCGGCCUAUCAGCUAGUUGGUGUGGGUAACGGCCUACCAAGGCGACGACGGGUAGCUGGUCUGAGAGGAUGGUCAGCCGGAUUGGGACUGAGACACGGCCCAGACUCCUCCGGGGGGCAGCAAUUAGGAAUCUUGCGCAUGGGCGAAAGCCUGACGCAGCGACGCCGCGUGACUGAUGAAGUCUUUCGGGAUGUAAAGGUCUUUUGCAGGGGACGAAGGAAGUGACGGCACCCUGCGAAUAAGCCCCGGCUAACUACGUGCCAGCAGCCGCGGUAAUACGUAGGGGGCGAGCGUUGUCCGAAUUCACUGGGCGUAAAGCGCGCGUAUGCGGGUUUUUAAGUUGUGGGUGAAAUUCCGAGGCUCAACCUCGUAACUGCCUGCAAAACUGGGAGCCUUGAGGUAUGGAGAGGGAAGUGGAAUUCCUGGUGUAGCGGUGAAAUGCGUAGAUAUCAGGAGGAACACCCGUGGCGAAGGCGGCUUCCUGGCCAUAUCCUGACGCUGAGGUGCGAAAGCUAGGGUAGCGAACGGGAUUAGAUACCCCGGUAGUCCUAGCCGUAAACGAUGGAUACUAGGUGUUAGAGGUAUCGACCCCUCUAGUGCCGCAGCUAACGCAUUAAGUAUCCCGCCUGGGGAGUACGACCGCAAGGUUGAAACUCAAAGGAAUUGACGG
rnacentral:rRNA from 1 species